AGCGAACGCUGGCGGCAGGCCUAACACAUGCAAGUCGAACGAACUCUUCGGAGUUAGUGGCGGACGGGUGAGUAACACGUGGGAACGUGCCUUUAGGUUCGGAAUAACUCAGGGAAACUUGUGCUAAUACCGAAUGUGCCCUUCGGGGGAAAGAUUUAUCGCCUUUAGAGCGGCCCGCGUCUGAUUAGCUAGUUGGUGGUGUUAUGGACCACCAAGGCGACGAUCAGUAGCUGGUCUGAGAGGAUGAUCAGCCACAUUGGGACUGAGACACGGCCCAAACUCCUACGGGAGGCAGCAGUGGGGAAUCUUGCGCAAUGGGCGAAAGCCUGACGCAGCCAUGCCGCGUGAAUGAUGAAGGUCUUAGGAUUGUAAAAUUCUUUCACCGGGGACGAUAAUGACGGUACCCGGAGAAGAAGCCCCGGCUAACUUCGUGCCAGCAGCCGCCGUAA
rnacentral:rRNA from 1 species